rnacentral:rRNA from 1 species
UUUUUUGGUUGGGGAUGGACUCGCGGCCUAUCAGCUUGUUGGUGAGGUAAUGGCUCACCAAGGCGACGACGGGUAGCCGGCCUGAGAGGGUGACCGGCCACACUGGGACUGAGACACGGNCCAGAUUCCUACGGGAGGCAGCAGUGGGGAAUAUUGCACAAUGGGCGAAAGCCUGAUGCAGCAACGCCGCGUGAGGGAUGACGGCCUUCGGGUUGUAAACCUCUUUUAGUAAGGAAGAAGCGAAAGUGACGGUACCUGCAGAAAAAGCACCGGCUAACUACGUGCCAGCAGCCGCGGUAAUACGUAGGGUGCAAGCGUUGUCCGGAAUUAUUGGGCGUAAAGAGCUCGUAGGCGGUUUGUCGCGUCUGCUGUGAAAUCCCGAGGCUCAACCUCGGGCUUGCAGUGGGUACGGCAGACUAGAGUCGGUAGGGGAGAUUGGAUUCCUGGUGUUACCGGUUGGAAUGCGCUAGAUAUCAGGAGGAACACCGAUGGGCGAAGUCAGAUCUCUGGGCCGUAACUGACGCUGAGGAGCGAAAGCGUGGGGAGCGAACAGAAUUAGAUACCCUGCUAGUCCACGCCGUAAACGUUGGGCGCUAGAUGUAGGGACCUUUCCACGGUUUCUGUGUCGUAGCUAACGCAUUAAGCGCCCCGCCUGGGGAGUACGGCCGCAAGGCUAAAACUCAAAGGAAUUGACGGGGGCCCGCACAAGCGGCGGAGCAUGCGGAUUAAUUCGAUGCAACGCGAAGAACCUUACCAAGGCUUGACAUAC